UCUUUACGUUCUACACUUAGCUGGUUUC
rnacentral:piRNA from 1 species